rnacentral:rRNA from 1 species
AUGGAAAUACUUCACCUUGAGGAGAUCCCAGAAAAAGAUAUUGUGAAACGGUGGACGAAGGACGCAAGGGACAUUCUUCCUAGCCAUCUGCAGCAGUACCAAAAGGACAAAUGGAGCAACACAUCAUUCACAUGGAGGCAUUCAACACUGUACUUGAAAGCUAUGGAAGUCGUUCGCAUGGGGGAUGCUAAUGCAGAAUCAUUUGACUUCAUGCUAGGUGGGCUGGAUGAUCUGCUGGUGCGUGGAGCACCUAUUGCAGAAAAGAGGGAUGGAAUGGGUUUUGAGGAUCGCAUCACGACAUUGGACCCUCUGAGACACACUAGAAAUGGAGAGGUUGCUUUCGUGGUCGGGACAGUUGCCGAUAAAGAGAAUAGCAUGGCACAUUCGGUGAGCGUGAAUGACUUGCAAGGGCUAGCUCCACCCGGUAAGCAAAGGGGGGUCGGAAGGCCAACAAAUAGCAGGGAGAAGGCACCGUACAAAGGACUGAGUAGACGUACACGCUUCUGCAGCAUUUGCAGGAGGGAAGGACACAAGAGAACUACAUGUCUUGAUAGAGGGGAUGCACCGAAAAAGCCGAGGAAACCUGGUCAAUGCAAGAACUACGGAAUCGAAGGUCACCGCCGCAACACGUGGACUAGGCCAUUGGGCUUUGGUGCAAACUAG